UUUCGUUUCAUACAAACAAUUCUUUCAAUCAAACGCGUGAGUUGAAUCCAUCUUGGAACCAGAACCAGUGUUUCUGGAUUGUUUUGAUAUUUUGUGUAGAAACAAAUUAAAUCCAUAAAAAUUCCUGAUAAAUUUCCUACGACAAAAAAAAUAUGGGACACAAACGAAGUUUGGACAAUGCCAAUAAUAAUGUUGAUGGUGAUCAAGAAUGUUCCACCAAUCCUAUUGAUCAACAGCCAUCGGCGAAGAAAAUGAAAACAUCGAAAAAAAUGAAUGGAUCAAUUCAACUUGAAGAUACUAUUGAAGAUGUGUCAGUGAAAAAAGAAGAAAAUGAAGAAAAUGUUGAAAUUGUACCACGAACACGUCGUGACAUGAUACAAUUACCGUAUGAUCAGAAAUUGAAAUUUGUUUCGAUUAUUGCUCAACCGAUGGCUGGAAAAAAAUUGGCUAAAAAAUUAUUCAAAUUAAUGCGAAAAGCAAGUAAACAAUCGAGAAAAGAACAGCUACGUAUUGGAUUGAAAGAAGUACAGCUUCGUAUACGUAAAGGUGAACGUGGUAUUAUUGUAUUUGCUGGCGAUGUAACACCGAUCGAAAUAAUGUGCCAUUUACCUGGCAUUUGUGAAUCAAAAGAUUUGCCAUACAUUUAUGUACCAUUUCGUACGGACAUAUCAUCAGCCAUUGGUGUACGACGACCAGCUUUAAUGGUAUUGAUUAAAACACAUUCUGAAUAUCAAGAUUUAUAUGAUGAAUGUGAAACUAAAAUUCGUGAAUUGAUGCUAGAAUUUUUGAAAACCAUUUAAAUACCAUUCGAUUUGGCUUUUGGUCACCUGAUUACCAGAUGGUUUUUGAACAACAACAACAACAACAAAAUUAUCUCUUUGUUCCAGAAUAUGGAUGUGUGUGUGACAUAUUAUUUGGUCUAUGGAUGA